ACUUGCAGUGCAUGUAUUUAACAUUUUAAAGAAUGAGUUUGAUGUCUAAUCUCGGAAGCUAAGCAGGGUUGGGCCUGAUUACUACUUGGAUGGGAGACCACCUAGGAAGACCAGGUGCUGUAGGUG
ensembl:rRNA 5S_rRNA 5S ribosomal RNA